UGGGGAAUCUUGCGCAAUGGGCGAAAGCCUGACGCAGCAACGCCGCGUGAGGGAUGAAGGCUUUCGGGUUGUAAACCUCUUUCAGCGGGAACGAAAUUGACGGUACCCGCAGAAGAAGCUCCGGCCAACUACGUGCCAGCAGCCGCGGUAAUACGUAGGGAGCAAGCGUUGUCCGGAUUUAUUGGGCGUAAAGAGCUCGUAGGCGGUUUAGAAAGUCAGAUGUGAAAACUCCAGGCUCAACCUGGAGACGCCACUUGAUACUUCUAUGACUUGAGUUCGGUAGGGGACCUCGGAAUUCCUGGUGUAGCGGUGAAAUGCGCAGAUAUCAGGAGGAACACCGAUGGCGAAGGCAGAGGUCUGGGCCGAUACUGACGCUGAGGAGCGAAAGCGUGGGGAGCGAACAG
rnacentral:rRNA from 1 species